rnacentral:rRNA from 1 species
CCUACGGGAGGCUGCAGUGAGGAAUAUUGGUCAAUGGCCGGAAGGCUGAACCAGCCAAGUCGCGUGAGGGAAUAAGGCCCUAUGGGUCGUAAACCUCUUUUGUCAGGGAGCAAAGGCGUCCACGAGUGGACGAAAGGAGAGUACCUGAAGAAAAAGCAUCGGCUAACUCCGUGCCAGCAGCCGCGGUAAUACGGAGGAUGCGAGCGUUAUCCGGAUUUAUUGGGUUUAAAGGGUGCGUAGGCGGAGUGUCAAGUCAGCGGUAAAAUUUCGGGGCUCAACCCCGUCGUGCCGUUGAAACUGACACCCUUGAGUGAGUGAGAAGUAAGCGGAAUGCGUGGUGUAGCGGUGAAAUGCAUAGAUAUCACGCAGAACCCCGAUUGCGAAGGCAGCUUGCUGCAGCGGAACUGACGCUGAUGCUCGAAAGCGCGGGUAUCGAACAGGAUUAGAUACCCGUGUAGUC